rnacentral:rRNA from 1 species
GGAGAUCUGUGCAUUGACGUUCUAUCUCCAUCGUCCUCGGGACGUUAAGGCGCUCUGGUCGAGGAUAAACGACCCCUCUGACCGAGGUUAAACGGUCGCUUGCCUGUGUUACCUCUUUGGAGGCACACGUUAAAGAUCGUUCCGCGUUGUGAGUCUAACACCAGUUGUAAACUUUCUACAACCGGCAGCGCUGGAUCCCUUGGCACGUCAUUCGAUGAAGACCGUUGCAAAUUGCGAUAAAGUGAUGUGAUGCGCAAGUCCACCACUUAUACGUGAAUCAUCGAGUUGUUGAACGCAUUGCACCGCGCCCUAAUCCGGCUGCGGUAUGCCCCUUUGAGCGUCAUUGUAUUCCUUCGGGAGUCUUUCCUUGCUGAAAGACCCGAGUUCGGAGUCCUCGGUCCUCUGGAUCGUGUUCUCUCAGAUGCGUCGCGCCGAUCGCCUGAUGGGUACUCUAAUGCCUGAGCGUGGAGUCCCUUUGAGCUUGAGACGCGCUUGACCGGCCGUUGGGCUCGCGUCACCAAGUCCGCGUCCUUCUGGACGUCGGUACUACAACGCAUGACCUCAUUGGGGUAGGACAACCCGCUAGACUUAAGCAUAUUAAUCAGCGGAGGAAAAGAAACUAACCAGGAUUCCCCUAGUAACUGCGAGUGAAGCGGGACCCGCUCAAUGUUGAU